rnacentral:lncRNA from 1 species
GCAGGAGACGAGUUUCCCUUCCUGCUUCUGGUGUGUUCUCUCUAGGCUCCGGCAUGACGGGUGACUUCUUCCGAGUCUGGCUUCUGCAGCACACAGGGCUUCGCCAGCACCCAGCUCCUGCAGCAUGGGCAGCUCCUGUGACAGCAGGCGCCCGCAGCCUGCAAAGCGUCUCCAGUGCCGCCGCCUCAGUGAACCUCAACCAGCGGCACCUAGCAGCUUUCUCUGCCACCCUCUUCAGGCAGGAAGCCCGCCUGACCCCAUGUCUCAGGCUGCCAGAGGAGCGUGCGAUGAGGAAGGCUGGACUGUCUUCACAGGACACCAGGGAGAAGCCUCAAGCCACUGCCCCCUGACAAGUCGCAGCUCUCCAGCCUGUCUCCUCACUCCCCUCCCCUCCACAUGGGGGGGUUGGGGUGGGGGCGGGGAAGGUUCGGGGCAGGGGUCAUUUCAGCUACUGGGCACCAGUCUCCUCCUCAUGUUUAUCCUGUUCCCUUUGCUUGAAAGGUUCGUACUCCAGAUCCUUGUAAAACCGCUUCUCACCCUUUGAGUCUCAGCUUAAAUGUCCCCUCCUUGGAGGGGUCUUCCCUGACAAUGAAGCUCCGACCGUCCUCUCCUGUUUUACCCAGUUCAUUUCUUUCUGGCAUUUGUAACUACUUGAAGUUAAAGUGUGUGCCAUGUAUGUGUCUGUCAGUUUCCCCCACCACACUGGAACCCCAUGAGGGCAAGGGUCUUGUCUGGAAUCUUCCUCACUUACAACUCAACAUUUAGCAAAGGACCUUUGCUAAAUUAACAGGCAUUCAUUUUGUAUUUGAAAAAUGAACUAGUGAGGCCGGGCGUGGUGGCUCACACCUGCAAUCCCGGCACUUUGGGAGACCGAGGCGGGCUUGAGGUCAGGAGUUCGAGACCGGCCUGGCCAACAUGGUGAAACCCCAUUAAAAAUACAAAAAUUG